CUGUAACUGAGUACGAACCAUAGCCAUACUGUGACCGAGUACGGACCAUAGCCAUACUGUAACCGAGCUCAGUGAGUUUACAUGUUAGAGGGAGUGGGGUAUAGUGACACAGUAACCGAGGGAUUGAGGCCCUGCUCAGUGAGCUGACAUGUUAGAGGGAGUGGGGUAUAGUGACACAGUAACGGAGGGAUUGAGGGCCCUGCUCAGUGA